AUUGAACGCUGGCGGCAUGCCUUACACAUGCAAGUCGAACGGUAACAGGUCUUCGGAUGCUGACGAGUGGCGAACGGGUGAGUAAUACAUCGGAACGUGCCUAGUAGUGGGGGAUAACUACUCGAAAGAGUGGCUAAUACCGCAUGAGAUCUACGGAUGAAAGCAGGGGAUCGCAAGACCUUGUGCUACUAGAGCGGCCGAUGGCAGGUUAGGGAGUUGGUGGGAUAAAAGCUUACCAAGCCGACGACCUGUAGCUGGUCUGAGAGGACGAUCAGCCACACUGGGACUGAGACACGGCCCAGACUCCUACGGGAGGCAGCAGUGGGGAAUUUUGGACAAUGGGCGAAAGCCUGAUCCAGCAAUGCCGCGUGCAGGAUGAAGGCCUUCGGGUUGUAAACUGCUUUUGUACGGAACGAAAAGCCCCGGGUUAAUACCCUGGGGUCAUGACGGUACCGUAAGAAUAAGCACCGGCUAACUACGUGCCAGCAGCCGCAGUAA
rnacentral:rRNA from 1 species